rnacentral:lncRNA from 1 species
GUAAGUAGGGAAAGAAAUAUCAAAUCAAUCUCCUAAGCAUAGCACAGUAUUUUGUGGACUGAGAAAUACAGAGCUAACACAAGAACAUGCCCCGGGUAGCUGCUGAUCCAAAGAGCAUGAGGAAACAUUAGAAGUAGACCAAACCCAGUUCACAGUCUGCAGCCAAGAGGAGCUAAGCCCUACACUCUUGAGCAAGACUACGGUUUACAGAAUGCUUUUUAGAUAUUUUCCAUCUGUUCUACCAGAAAUUUCUGAAUUUCAUGUCAAGUUCUAUUAA